AGCUGGGCAACAGCUGCACACCUGUUCUCAGAGGGCCAGAAUUUCCAGUUUGCUUGAAACGGCAUCAUCUAGACGUACUUUUCACCAGCUUUUUUCCCCUCAAGCCAGUAGAUUUCUGGAACAUUUGGUUCCCUGACCAGGAAUCGGGAAUGCAAUAGUCCUUUUGGGCAUUGGCCCGAGCCUCACUGGAGGGAGCUGCUCUCUGUCCCCUCAAGACAAAAGGCGUGCUCCUGGGACAAAUUUCCUAGGCUCCCCAACAGGACACAGAGACCCGCUCACUGGUUGCAGAUUGCCUGAACCUGAGACAGAGAAGGAGAGAAGGAGGGCUGCUGCUGUUGGUGUCUCAUCUGUCUCUCUCCUUUGCUGGGCUUUACAAGUGCUAAGUUACUUAACCUGGCCCGGGCCGAUUGAUCCAGAACUCGCGCUGAGAUACUGUUUCUCAUUUCUGCUUCCCUGUGCUUUGCUUCCUGUUGUGCU
rnacentral:lncRNA from 1 species